rnacentral:lncRNA from 1 species
GUUAAGAGGGCAGAUCAAAGACACUUGAAGACACAUGAGGACUAAGGAAGUUUACUUCCUAUAGACUCCUUGUGGUAAUGUUCCUGGAAAAAAAAACAGCAAUAGAGGAUGUGCAGCAGUAAAACAAAGGAGAAACCAAGAAUGAGAAAAGCAUGGAAUUUUUGUCAGCUUAUAAGUUAGCUUGCAAAUUCACUUUUAAUUGAUACAACCUUUCACCUCAGAGCUGCUUCUUGUAACACAGAAGUUUUCAGAUUCUAUGAAAAGGUAUUGAGUGAAUUGAAGGCUCUGUUAAGGGGGCAACUAUCUCCCCUCCCCAUUCUCCUAUCAGCCCAUAAAACAAGAACUGACAACCUCUUGGAAGAAUUGGGAAGAAACUUUUCGAUUUUCUCUGUACAAUCUUCACUGGUUCCUCUCUGAGAGGAGGAGGGACCUCUUAGGUUGGUGUCGUUGGGAAAAGGAUAUCAAGUGUGCAUGGCUCAGCCUGUUCCUGGCUCAGCCUGUUCCUGGCUCUCUCUCUGGGACUGACCUGACUGCAAGCAGCAUGUUCUCUCUCUGCUCCUGCCUCCUCCAGGCAAUGAGCACCAGGGCGGGUCCAGCCCUUGCUUGGGAGGACUUCAAUAGUCCAGCUGCUCUGCCACGAGUGGGUGAGUGAGUUCAAGUCAGAGGAGAAGACACAGAAAGCUCAUUUGGGCCUUGGGUCUUAGCCACAUCCUCCAGUCCAUCUGGACUAGCAAUAAAGCUGACAUUUUAAUCCCUA